ACGUGCUUGAGUCUAGUACUCCUCUUCGGAUUAUAACAAACCCCUAACGCGGAAAGACUCGCUUCUCUUUGUUUAUGACUCCUGUGGAGUUAAUUUUGCUACAUUGAUGGAAGUUCAAAGAAGUAAACCUUCAAUGAACACUUUCACUUUCUUUAGACAUAUUUUUCUGUAACAGUAGUCACUAGAUCCUGGUAUCCUGCAUUUGAGGAAUGACCACUCUAGUCUGGACCCACUAUUUGAAAACUCUAUGGAUUUGCUAAGCAAUUUUUCUUCAUCUUAAUCUUAUAAAAACGCCCUGAAGCAUAAUUGAAUUCCUUGCUCAGCAAUCGUGCAACACUCAAUAAGGGCGCAAAGUGAACAAUUGACUUCAUAAUUUACCAGGGAAGAACAUUAUUAGCAUGGUUCUCCAUCCACCACAACAAUAUUUAUAAUUGUCAAGGAAAUGAAGUCUUGCCUCUUGAUGUACCUUCGGAAAGCUCAGCAGCAUAUUUCUCUUACUUUGGAAAAAAGGAAACAAUUCCUGAAGAAGCGGGAGGCGAAAGAGAGGGAAACAGGAGGAAGAAGAAGAAGAAGAAAAGAACAAGUAGCAUGUUGUAGAACUCAAAGGUGGUACUGAAUGCCAGCUAUCAGAUGUGAAGAAUAUCUCAUUGAUUAUUUGGAAGGGGAAAACCUGUCCCUUAUACAUUAAAAAUGAGAAAAAUAU